GUCGCGGUAGUGUAGUGGUUAUCACGUGCGCUUCACAUGCGUGAGGUCUCCAGUUCGAAUCUGGAUCGUGACA
rnacentral:tRNA from 1 species